GGGAUUAGAUACCCCACUAUGCUUAGCCUUAAACCUAGAUGUUUAAUUUACAAGCAACAUCCGCCAGGGUACUACAAGCGCUAGCUUAAAACCCAAAGGACUUGACGGUGUCUCAGACCCACCUAGAGGAGCCUGUUCUAGAACCGAUAAUCCCCGUUAAACCUCACCACCCCUUGUUUUCUCCGCCUAUAUACCGCCGUCGCAAGCUUACCCUGUGAAGGUCUCAUAGUAAGCAAAAUGGGUAAAUCCCAAAACGUCAGGUCGAGGUGUAGCUUACGAGGUGGGAAGAAAUGGGCUACAUUUUCUAUAUCAGAAUAAUACGAACAGCACUAUGAAAUUAGUGCUCGAAGGUGGAUUUAGUAGUAAAAAACAAAUAGAGAGUCUUUUUGAACCAGGCUCUGAGACGCGCACACACCGCCC
rnacentral:rRNA from 1 species